GUGCUCACUUUGGCAGCACAUACACUAAAAUCGGAACGAUACAGAGAAGAUUAGCAUGGCCCCUGCGCAAGAAAAAAAAAAUUGUUAUUGGUCAUAGUCAACCACAUU